rnacentral:rRNA from 1 species
UACGGAGGGUGCGAGCGUUGUCCGGAAUCAUUGGGCGUAAAGGGCGCGUAGGUGGCCCGGUCAGUUCGUGGUGGAAGCGCGGGGCUCAACCCUGCGUCGGCCAUGAAUACUGCCGCGGCUGGAGCACUGUAGAGGCAGGCGGGAAUUCCGGGUGUAGCGGUGGAAUGCGUAGAGAUCCGGAAGAACGACCGGUGGCGCAAGGCGGCCUGAG